ACACCAAGAAAUGGACUGGAAUCAAAUCAAAUCAAAUCAAACAAGAAAUUCAUGGUCUCAUCAGCCAGUCUAAUUACACUACUACACUACACUCUAUAAUAUAUUACUAUUAUCUUCACUACACUAUAAACUAUCUUCUACUGAUGUGAGGUGUAGUGACAGUGUGAAGAGUAACAGUAGAAGAUAGUUUAUAGCGUAGCGGAGAUAAUAGUAAUAUAUUGUAGAGUAAUAUAGUAUAGUAGCAUAACAUAGCAUAGCUAAUUGCUAAGGAAGAAAAGAAAGAGAAAGAAGAUGUGCGAAAUACAUACAUCAAUAUAUAUAUACAUAUAGAAAUAGUGAUAGCAAG
rnacentral:sRNA from 1 species